rnacentral:rRNA from 1 species
GACGAACGCUGGCGGCGUGCUUAACACAUGCAAGUCGAACGGUGAACCUCUUCGGAGGGGAUCAGUGGCGAACGGGUGAGUAACACGUGGGCAACCUGCGCCCGCCUCUGGGAUAACUCCAAGAAAUAGUGGCUAAUACCGGAUGUUCACCGCUUCCCGCCUGGGUGGUGGUGGAAAGGGUUUCGGGCUGGGGAUGGGCCCGCGGCCUAUCAGCUUGUUGGGGGGGUAGUGGCCUACCAAGGCGAGGACGGGUAGCCGGCCUGAGAGGGGGACCGGCCAAUUUGGGCUGGAGACAGGGCCAAGCCUCCAACGGGAGGCAGCAGGGGGAAUAAUUGAGAAAGGGGGCGAGGCCUGAGCAAGCAACGCCGCGUGGGGGAUGCCGGCCUUGGGGUGGUAAACGCCUUUAGGCGGGGACGAACUUUUAGUGACGGUACCUGCAGAAGAAGCACCGGCUAACUACGUG